UGGCCACCCUCUAUAGAUCUUAAGGA
rnacentral:piRNA from 1 species